GUAAAAGUUAGCCACAGCCUGGCGCCUGGCAGGCCCCUCUUCGGAGCCCUCUGUGGAGCAGCGAGGACCUCGGCAGGAUGCUGUCCCAGAGCCUCUCUGGAGAAGUACAUAAGCUCCGGAGGCAGUAAAAGCAGAAGCUCAAGCCCCCUGACUCCGCUUCCCACCUGAGAGGCGCAGGUUUGCCCAUCAAAUUCACCUGACACGGGAGUGGCUUUGCUUUGUUCUGCUGCAGAAAUUCAAAUCGCAAACGUUUUGGUUCUUUUUAAAGAUCGUUGGAGAAUGGUACAUAUUACAAGAGCUUUAUUUAAUGGAGGAGUUAUUGGCGAGGUAAUAAACUGCUAAUUUGGGGUCAAGCCUUGCCUGCGAACUGUGAAGGACUUGGAUUCAAAUCCCAGCUUUGCCACUUCCUGUCCGUGUGCCCUCAGCCUCUCCGAGCUCCGGGUCAAACGGCGAGGGUAAUUCCUGUCAUCCUGGUGUGGUGUGAGGAUCAGCAAUCCGGAAUGCCACCCAGAAGGCUGGGCAAGUCAGGAGACCUCACUGGCUGGUCUGCGGACCUCUUGCGAAGGUCUCCGGGGGCCCGGGGCCGGAAGGCAAUGGCUGCCCCUUCUCACUGCCUCCUCCCAAACGCAGGUCCUGCCCACUGAUGAUGGAAGCCUCGAGUUUUUCUUUGUACCUGGCCUCUGUCAAACAUGAAAAAAAUGAAACCUAAACACGUUGAUGCCACUGGCUGGCUCCUUGAAGACAUCUGAGUUUGCAUCCCUUGAUAUGGAAGAUUGCCUCUCCUGGAAGCCAGAUGCCAGCGAGGUUUCUUCUGGAUAAUAUCUUUCCUAAGGAGGGAUCUGGGCCCCCUG
rnacentral:lncRNA from 1 species